rnacentral:rRNA from 1 species
AGAGUUUGAUCAUGGCUCAGGAUUAACGCUAGCGGCAGGCCUAAUACAUGCAAGUCGAGGGGUAACAGGGUAGCAAUAUCGCUGACGACCGGCGCACGGGUGAGUAACACGUAUGCAACCUACCUAUAACUGGGGAAUAGCCUUCCGAAAGGAAGAUUAACACCGCAUAAUAUCACGAGACGGCAUCGUUUUGUGAUCAAACCUCCGGGGGUUAUAGAUGGGCAUGCGAAACAUUAGCUAGUUGGUGAGGUAACGGCUCACCAAGGCGACGAUGUUUAGGGGGUCUGAGAGGAUGAUCCCCCACACUGGUACUGAGACACGGACCAGACUCCUACGGGAGGCAGCAGUAAGGAAUAUUGGACAAUGGGGGCAACCCUGAUCCAGCCAUGCCGCGUGAAGGAUGAAGGCGCUCUGCGUCGUAAACUUCUUUUACUCGAGAAAAAUUGUUGGGUUUCUACCUGACUUGACUGUACCGAGAGAAUAAGGACCGGCUAACUUCGUGCCAGCAGCCGCGGUAAUACGAAGGGUCCAAGCGUUAUCCGGAUUUAUUGGGUUUAAAGGGUGCGUAGGCGGGUUGUUAAGUCAGUGGUGAAAUCUUGCAGCUUAACUGUAAAAUUGCCAUUGAUACUGACGAUCUUGAGUACACUUGAAGUGGGCGGAAUAUGUCAUGUAGAGGUGAAAUUCUUAGAGAUGACAUAGAACACCGAUUGCGAAGGCAGCUCACUAAAUUGUAACUGACGCUGAGGCACGAAAGCGUGGGGAUCAACAGGAUUAGAUACCCUGGUAGUCCACGCCCUAAACGAUGAUUACUA